rnacentral:misc_RNA from 1 species
AAGAAUUUGUGACAGGUAGUGACGGAAAAGAGGAAGAGGGAAGGUAUGAGAAGGAAAGAGCGAUGUUCAGGGUGUAGAAAUAUAGUCAAUGUAUAUAGACUGGUCGAGCGAGGGGUGGACAAUAGUGGCAACAUUGCAGUGGCCUUGAGGGAUCCAUUUUCGCUUGGCCGACUUUAGCAGAACCACUGCUUACAACCCAGCAGGUAAUGGACAGGUUGAAAGAUAUAAUGGUAUUCUAUGGAAAACGAUUGAGCUAGCAUUAAAAUCACUUAAUUUAGAAAUAAAUCAAUGGGAGUCAGUUUUAGAAGAUGCUCUUAGCUCAACAAGAACAUUACUUUGCACAGCCACAAAUCAAACUCCUCAUGAGCGUAUGUUCUUACACCCACGUAGAUCUGGAAACAAUGGUGUUUCAGCUCCUUCUUGGCUUCUCAAUUCCGGCCCUGUCUAUUUAAAAAAAUUCAAUCGAACAUCUAAAUAUGAGCCACUUGUUGAAGAGGUCCAACUUACCACAUAGCACACAAAGUAUCCCAUACAUAUCAAAUAUGUAUCAAUGAAACCUUUAAAGUAUGUAUUACAAAAUAUGUACCUCAAACAUAUCUGAUACAUAUUAUUUGAGACAGAAUUGAUACAUAUCUCCUAUGUGUAUCAGAUAUGUAUCAGAUACAUACCCGCUAAACAUUCCCACAAUGCAUCAGCAAUUGUGCAUACCCCUCUACGGCCUCACUAUGAAAACUGGUUCUGUAAAUCUGUUGUUUAUGUUGUGAUUGCGAUCAAGUUUGUAAUGCAAGUUGGAAGUUGAAGCCACAGAUUUUGCCAUUUUUUAAGGUGUUAUAAUAUAUUUGUGUAUCAUAUUGAUUACUCAUCUAAAGGGUCUGGGAAGCAGUAGUGCACUUGAAUCAACUUUGAGGGUGCUAAGAAAAGUAUUUACAUAUGAAUUGGCAAAUAAGUACAGCCUCCUUGGGAGGAAGAAGAGAAAUUUCGAAAAUUUGGCAAUUUGCAAAAUUUAUUGUUUUUGGACUGGAGGCAAUGAACCUUCCAUUGGGGUAGAAGAUAAGGAGGGCGAAAUCUAGCGAAUUUUUUAGUACCGCAAACCGCAGAUUUGGCGCCACCAAUCCACCCACUCACAUAUAUAAUAAUCUUUAAUCUCUUUUCUACGUGUGUUACCAGUUGUAUAUAUAUAGUGUAUUUAAUAUUCGUAUGUAUCGCAUAAAAUAUGCAGUAUUUUAUUAUGGACCUUUCAGCUGAAUUAUGUUCUGUAUAGCAUAUUUUGUCUUCUUGUUAUUUUAAUAAAGAUUUUAGUGAAGAUUAUUCUAGUAAAGAAUAUAUUCAUGAAAAUUUUUCUCCACAUUACAUUUUAUUACUUGUUACUCCACAUUACUACUUACAGAGUUACUUUAAUAAGAGUUACCAUACAUUAUUACUUGAGGCCUAUUCACAUUUUACUUAAAUGUAUUAUUAAUUAGCCUAAUCUCAUUUCAUUAAAUUAGAUCGCAUUUUUAUUUAUUUUUGAUAUGUUUAAUUAUGUUCUUUGUAUGGUAAAUAAAAUUUGAAUUUGAAAUUUGAA